rnacentral:rRNA from 1 species
UCAGAUUUGAUCCUGCUCAGGAUGAACGCUAGCUACAGGCUUAACACAUGCAAGUCGAGGGGCAGCAUGGUCUUAGCUUGCUAAGGCUGAUGGCGACCGGCGCACGGGUGAGUAACACGUAUCCAACCUGCCGUCUACUCUUGGACAGCCUUCUGAAAGGAAGAUUAAUACAAGAUGGCAUCAUGAGUCCGCAUGUUCACAUGAUUAAAGGUAUUCCGGUAGACGAUGGGGA